UACGGAGGUGGCUAGCGUUGUUCGGAAUUAUUGGGCGUAAAGCGCGUGUAGGCGGUUUUUUAAGUCUGAUGUGAAAGCCCUGGGCUCAACCUGGGAAGUGCAUUGGAAACUGGAAGGCUUGAGUACGGGAGAGGGCAGUGGAAUUCCUAGUGUAGGAGUGAAAUCCGUAGAUAUUAGGAGGAACACCGGUGGCGAAGGCGGCUGCCUGGACCGAUACUGACGCUGAGACGCGAAAGCGUGGGGAGCAAACAGG
rnacentral:rRNA from 1 species